ACGUAGGGGGCGAGCGUUGUCCGGAUUUAUUGGGCGUAAAGCGCGCGUAGGCGGCUGCGCAAGUCGGUUGUGAAACCCCGGGGCUCAACCCCGGAACUGCAUCCGAUACUGCGUGGCUAGAGGUAGGUAGGGGAGAUCGGAAUUCCUGGUGUAGCGGUGAAAUGCGCAGAUAUCAGGAGGAACACCGGUGGCGAAGGCGGAUCUCUGGGCCUUACCUGACGCUCAGGCGCGAAAGCUAGGGGAGCGAACAGGAUUAGAUACCCUGGUAGUCCUAGCCGUAAACGUUGGGUGCUAGGUGUGGGCGGAUAUCGACCCCGUCCGUGCCGAAGCUAACGCAUUAAGCACCCCGCCUGGGGAGUACGGCCGCAAGGCUA
rnacentral:rRNA from 1 species